UACAGAGGUCCCAAGCGUUGUUCGGAUUCACUGGGCGUAAAGGGUGCGCAGGUGGUCGGGUAAGUCUGACGUGAAAUCCCGCAGCUUAACUGCGGAAUGGCAUUGGAUACUAUUCGGCUAGAGGGUUGGAGGGGGGACUGGAAUUCUCGGUGUAGCAGUGAAAUGCGUAGAUAUCGAGAGGAAGACCAGUGGCGAAGGCGGAUCUCUGGACAGCUCCUGACGCUGAGGCGCGAAGGCUAGGGGAGCAAACGGG
rnacentral:rRNA from 1 species